rnacentral:rRNA from 1 species
AGAUGGCGACCGGCGCACGGGUGAGUAACACGUAUCCAACCUGCCGAUAACUCGGGGAUAGCCUUUCGAAAGAAAGAUUAAUACCCGAUGGUAUAAUCAGACCGCAUGGUUUGAUUAUUAAAGAAUUUCGGUUAUCGAUGGGGAUGCGUUCCAUUAGGCAGUUGGUGAGGUAACGGCUCACCAAACCUUCGAUGGAUAGGGGUUCUGAGAGGAAGGUCCCCACAUUGGAACUGAGACACGGUCCAA